GAAUCACAGUGAGGAGAAAGAAGGAGGAGUUCUUGUGGUACCUUAGAGACUAACAAAUGUAUUUGGGCAUAAGUUUCUGUGGGCUGAAACCCACUUCCUUGGAUAGAUGGAGUGAAAAAUACAGU